GAUGAACGCUGGCGGCGUGCCUAACACAUGCAAGUCGAACGGAGAUUCCGGACGGAAGUUUUCGGAUGGAAGACUGUAAUUCUUAGUGGCGGACGGGUGAGUAACGCGUGGGCAACCUGCCCUAUACAGGGGGAUAGCAGCUGGAAACGGCUGGUAAGACCGCAUAAGUCGGUUAAAUCGCAUGAUUUGAUCGGGAAAUGAGCAAUCAGGUAUAGGAUGGGCCCGCGUCCGAUUAGCCAGUUGGCAGGGUAAAAGCCUACCAAAGCGACGAUCGGUAGCCGGACUGAGAGGUCGGGCGGCCACAUUGGGACUGAGACGCGGCCCGAACUCCUACGGGAGGCAGCAGUGGGGGAUAUUGCACAAUGGAGGAAACUCUGAUGCAGCGACGCCGCGUGAGUGAAGAAGUAUUUCGGUAUGUAAAGCUCUAUCAGCAGGGAAGAUGAUGACGGUACCUGACUAAGAAGCCCCGGCUAACUACGUG
rnacentral:rRNA from 1 species